rnacentral:rRNA from 1 species
UACGUAGGGGGCAAGCGUUUGUCCGGAUUUAUUGGGCGUAAAGAGCGUGUAGGCGGCUAGAUAGGUCCGUUGUGAAAACUCGAGGCUCAACCUCGAGACGUCGAUGGAAACCAUCUGGCUAGAGUCCGGAAGAGGAGGAGUGGAAUUCCUGGUGUAGCGGUGAAAUGCGCAGAUAUCAGGAGGAACACCGGCGGUGUAGACGCUUCGUGGACCGUAGCUGACGCUGAGACACGGAAGACGUGGGUAGCAAACAGG